AAAAUUUUGGGGAAAGGGUAGGAAAUCCCCUUUGAGGGGGGGAAAAUUUUGGAAACAAAGGCUAUCCCGGCAACCCAUGGAUGCCCCAUGUCAUUUAUUUGAAAGGGGCAAUUGCUCCACUACAAGAUGGACCUGCGUUGUAUUAGCUAGUAGGUAGGGAACCGGUCACCUAGGGGACGAUACAAAGCCGACCUGAAAGGGUUAUCGGCCACACUGGGACUGAGACACGGCCCAGACUCCUACGGGAGGCAGCAGUAGGGAAUCUUCGGCAAUGGGGGCAACCCUGACCGAGCAACGCCGCGUGAGUGAAGAAGGUUUUCGGAUCGUAAAGCUCUGUUGUAAGUCAAGAACGAGUGUGAGAGUGGAAAGUUCACACUGUGACGGUAGCUUACCAGAAAGGGACGGCUAACUACGUGCCAGCAGCCGCGGUAAUACGUAGGUCCCGAGCGUUGUCCGGAUUUAUUGGGCGUAAAGCGAGCGCAGGCGGUUUGAUAAGUCUGAAGUUAAAGGCUGUGGCUCAACCAUAGUUCGCUUUGGAAACUGUCAAACUUGAGUGCAGAAGGGGAGAGUGGAAUUCCAUGUGUAGCGGUGAAAUGCGUAGAUAUAUGGAGGAACACCGGUGGCGAAAGCGGCUCUCUGGUCUGUAACUGACGCUGAGGCUCGAAAGCGUGGGGAGCGAACAGGAUUAGAUACCCUGGUAGUCCACGCCGUAAACGAUGAGUGCUAGGUGUUGGAUCCUUUCCGGGAUUCAGUGCCGCAGCUAACGCAUUAAGCACUCCGCCUGGGGAGUACGACCGCAAGGUUGAAACUCAAAGGAAUUGACGGGGGCCCGCACAAGCGGUGGAGCAUGUGGUUUAAUUCGAAGCAACGCGAAGAACCUUACCAGGUCUUGACAUCCCGAUGCUAUUUCUAGAGAUAGAAAGUUACUUCGGUACAUCGGUGACAGGUGGUGCAUGGUUGUCGUCAGCUCGUGUCGUGAGAUGUUGGGUUAAGUCCCGCAACGAGCGCAACCCCUAUUGUUAGUUGCCAUCAUUCAGUUGGGCACUCUAGCGAGACUGCCGGUAAUAAACCGGAGGAAGGUGGGGAUGACGUCAAAUCAUCAUGCCCCUUAUGACCUGGGCUACACACGUGCUACAAUGGUUGGUACAACGAGUUGCGAGUCGGUGACGGCAAGCUAAUCUCUUAAAGCCAAUCUCAGUUCGGAUUGUAGGCUGCAACUCGCCUACAUGAAGUCGGAAUCGCUAGUAAUCGCGGAUCAGCACGCCGCGGUGAAUACGUUCCCGGGCCUUGUACACACCGCCCGUCACACCACGAGAGUUUGUAACACCCGAAGUCGGUGAGGUAACCUUUUGGAGCCAGCCGCCUAAGGUGGGAUAGAUGAUUGGGGUGAAGUCGUAACAAGGUAGCCUUCAGCCU
rnacentral:rRNA from 2 species